CCACGCCGUAAACGAUGGGCACUAGGUGUGGGAGGUGUCGACUCCUCCCGUGCCGACGCUAACGCAUUAAGUGCCCCGCCUGGGGAGUACGGCCGCAAGGCUAAAACUCAAAGGAAUUGACGGGGACCCGCACAAGCAGCGGAGCAUGUGGUUUAAUUCGACGCAACGCGAAGAACCUUACCUGGGCUUGACAUGUUGGUGACCGGUGUGGAAACACACUUUUCCUUCGGGACACCAUCACAGGUGGUGCAUGGCUGU
rnacentral:rRNA from 1 species